rnacentral:pre_miRNA from 1 species
GGACCCAAUUUGAUGCGAAAAUUUUACAGGGACCAGAUUUGAUUCCCUUUACAAUUUCAAGGACCAAAAGAAUAUUUAAACCAAUUAUAUAUGUUAAAAUUAAAAUAGGCUUAAUACAUCAGAAGACCCUUGAAAUUGUAAAGGGAAUCAGUUCCAGGGCCUGUAAAAUUUUCGCAUCAAAUUGGGUCC